rnacentral:rRNA from 1 species
GGAAUAUUGGACAAUGGGCGCAAGCCUGAUCCAGCCAUGCCGCGUGGGUGAAGAAGGCCUUCGGGUUGUAAAGCCCUUUUGUUGGGAAAGAAAACUUUCCGAUUAAUACUCGGAGAGAAUGACGGUACCCAAAGAAUAAGCACCGGCUAACUUCGUGCCAGCAGCCGCGGUAAUACGAAGGGUGCAAGCGUUACUCGGAAUUACUGGGCGUAAAGCGUGCGGAGGUGGUUCGUUAAGUCUGAUGUGAAAGCCCUGGGCUCAACCUGGGAAUUGCAUUGGAUACUGGCGGGCUAGAGUGCGGUAGAGGAUGGCGGAAUUCCCGGUGUAGCAGUGAAAUGCGUAGAGAUCGGGAGGAACAUCCGUGGCGAAGGCGGCCAUCUGGACCAGCACUGACACUGAGGCACGAAAGCGUGGGGAGCAAA